rnacentral:lncRNA from 1 species
GAGAAAUGUGUGUUUUUUUCAUCGUGCGCACUUGGUGAAUCCAACACGUUCGAUGAUUUCGAUUCAACAGAAGGCCUUUUGUUCCGUGUUUGGCUUCCGUCGAUUAUGAGAGAAAUCACUUUAUUUCACGUGUGCGAGGAGACUCAAUCAGAAGUGCCACGCCUGACGCAGUGGGACUCCGUAUUGUUCAACAUUUUUGUUUUCUCUUUCGAAUUGAGGGUUCAGGGGUUGUUUUCUUUGCGCAGGACGGUAGAAAAGGCACAAGCACGGGAUCGACGCUUCAUUUCCUCGGGACUGCCACACAGUGAGCGCGGCAGUCGACUGUUCUGACAGGCAACACGUUUCGUCCGAAAGGAAUUGAAACGUGGUGAAUUGCUUAAACAGAACUCCUCGACAGCGGCGCGGCAACUUCCACUUCAGGGCAAAAUGUCCCGGGCCGGGGAGAGGCGCUACUGAUUAUUUACGCGGUAUAUUAGCUUCUCUCUUUCUCACGUGCACUGUGAAACUUGGCAAAAUCACCAGACGCUCUCUGCAUGAAAAAUUGACUACACGUUCUGUGGUACUUUUUCCCGUCCGUGUGGAGUGCCUGAGAUUCCUUCACUGUAUGUGGCCCUCUUGUUCCAUCUACACUGCUUAGUGAGGCGGGGGGCGUUCCCAAGAAGGCCUCUUGGCGCAGUCGCAUUAUCCAUAAAUGCAUGCCGCGACACGCUAAAGAGGACUCCCGCACACGCUCUCCACAUUCAAAGGUACAUCA